AGAUACCCUGGUAGUCCACGCUGUAAACGAUGUCGAUUUGGAGGUUGUGCCCUUGAGGCGUGGCUUCCGGAGCUAACGCGUUAAAUCGACCGCCUGGGGAGUACGGCCGCAAGGUUAAAACUCAAAUGAAUUGACGGGGGCCCGCACAAGCGGUGGAGCAUGUGGUUUAAUUCGAUGCAACGCGAAGAACCUUACCUACUCUUGACAUCCAGAGAACUUAGCAGAGAUGCUUUGGUGCCUUCGGGAACUCUGAGACAGGUGCUGCAUGGCUGUCGUCAGCUCGUGUUGUGAAAUGUUGGGUUAAGUCCCGCAACGAGCGCAACCCUUAUCCUUUGUUGCCAGCGGUUCGGCCGGGAACUCAAAGGAGACUGCCAGUGAUAAACUGGAGGAAGGUGGGGAUGACGUCAAGUCAUCAUGGCCCUUACGAGUAGGGCUACACACGUGCUACAAUGGCAUAUACAAAGAGAAGCGACCUCGCGGGAGCAAGCGGACCUCAUAAAGUAUGUCGUAGUCCGGAUUGGAGUCUGCAACUCGACUCCAUGAAGUCGGAAUCGCUAGUAAUCGUAGAUCAGAAUGCUACGGUGAAUACGUUCCCGGGCCUUGUACACACCGCCCGUCACACCAUGGGGAGUGGGUUGCAAAAGAAGUAGGUAGCUUAACCUUCGGGAGGGCGCUUACCACUUUGUGAUUCAUGACUGGGG
rnacentral:rRNA from 1 species